GGGGCACACCUGGAGCUGGAGCUUUUAUAAUGAUGUGUAUUAUGGACAUUAUAUCUUCUUUAAAUUUGAAAUUACCAGGAAACAUCCCGGGUUAAUAUUGGAUGUGGUGCGGGUGAUUUGUUCUUCAAGAAUUCUGAAUAGAGUUGGGACAUGCCAAGAGAAGAACUUAAAUAAAUGGGCCACUGAAAUAAUCAAGUUCUGUUUUUGAAUUUAUGUAUAAAUAUUUAACAUGGUUUAAUGAGGACAAUAAAGCCUUGUUUAUGUUUUUUCCCCUCUAUUAAGUUUUGUCAGUAGAAAUGAUGUGUGAAAA